GCCAUAGCUCAGUGGUAGAGCAUUUGCUUUGCAUGCAGAAGGUCCCAGGUUCAAUCCCAGGUAUCUCCA